GUUUAUAAAUGGCAAAAAUAUAGAAAAGCAUUUGAGCAGUAUUAGAAACGAAUUAGGACUGUGUCCUCAAGAAAAUAUGGUUUUUCCAGAUUUGAAUGUAUUUGAACAAAUAGAGUUCUUUGGCUUGUUGAAAGCUGAAAAUAAAACCAGAGACAAAGUCAGGGAGGAUGUUCAUGCUUUGCUGGCUAAAUUGAAGCUUUCCGAGAA